rfam:Streptomyces ipomoeae 91-03 gcontig_1108499714237, whole genome shotgun sequence.
CCGGUGAGCAUCCGCUCAUCGGGCCCUGACCUCGGUACCUCAUACGGCCGGGGCAG